UUGAACAGAGGCAGUUUUACCCAUGUAGGGACACGCUGAGGAUUCUCUCCCUAUUCACAGUUGCUGAAAACUUGAAGUGAUGUGACCUGCUGUGGAUCUUUUGAAACUCACAAGGAAAUUUUCUGAUGGUCUAGGCAAGCCCAAACAGAUGAAAUAAAUUACUUACCCAAAGACCCCAGGGAAGAAGCCAAGCCAAAACUUGACCUGGACCUCCCAAAUCAGAACUAGUGUCUUCCACACCACCAUGUUGCCUGGAACCAAUCAAUGUUUGGUAAAGAAACUUAAGAAGAGUAACUUGCCCAGGAUGACAGCUUUGGGAGGAUCUGGUCUCAUGGAUGCGCUUUCAGACUGAGUGUUCUAAACUACAGUGUUAACACUCUUUGCUGAUUCAGCAAAUCUGUGGUCCUCAGUCCUUUUUUAAGUUAUACUUAAACAGAACAGCCAUGACUUAGAAAACUAAGGGUAAACCUUUGGGUUUUGUUCUUUAUCCAGGGAAGAACACCAUGAUUUUCAAUACCUUUGCUCACACAGUAAGCACAGCAGCUGGCACAUACAGGCGCCCAGCGGGUAUCUGUCUACAGGUAUCUUGCACAAGGGAUAUUUACAACGCAGCAGCCCCACUGCCCCGCAGAGGAGCCAGAAGAGCCCUUGCCCCUAUUUUACCGGGUCCGACUCUCCUGGCCAGCAUGCUCCUGACAAAGGCAGUUCUGCUAUCCAGAGUGCACCUUGGGUUUGGAGAUCACGGAAGCCUCUGGAACAUUUCAAAAAUGCACCCGAUUGCUCAGUGUUGCUAAGCAGGUGACAAGUGAAAUAAAUACUGCUUCACUAUUUGGA